UACGUAGGGGGCAAGCGUUGUCCGGAGUUACUGGGCGUAAAGCGCACGCAGGCGGUCUCUUAAGUUUGGAGUGACAGUUGGUGGCUUAACUGCCAAAGUGCUUCGAAAACUGAGAGACUUGAGGGCUUCAGAGGGACACGGAAUUCCGGGUGGAGUGGUGAAAUGCGUAGAUAUCGGGAGGAACACCUGUGGCGAAAGCGGCUCACUGGACCGCAACUGACGCUGAGGCGCGAAAGCUAGGGGAGCAAACAGG
rnacentral:rRNA from 1 species